UACGGAGGAUGCGAGCGUUAUCCGGAUUUAUUGGGUUUAAAGGGUGCGUAGGCGGACUGUCAAGUCAGCGGUAAAAUUGAGAGGCUCAACCUCUUCCCGCCGUUGAAACUGGUGGUCUUGAGUGGAUGAGAAGUACGCGGAAUGCGUGGUGUAGCGGUGAAAUGCGUAGAUAUUAGGAGGAACACCAGUGGCGAAGGCGGCUUACUGGACUGUAACUGACGUUGAGGCUCGAAAGCGUGGGGAGCAAACAGG
rnacentral:rRNA from 1 species